CCCGCCCCGGAGGCGUCUGGGUGUGCGGACCGCGCGCGCGCGCGCGCGAGUCUCGGAGGCGCACCUGUGAGGUGUUUCCCCCCCCCCCCCGGGGGAGAGGGCCGGUGGGCGCGCGCCGAGUCCGCGGCCUAGGCGCGCUCCGCAGUCGCACUUGGGAGUGAGUUGGACCGGGCGACGGUAGUGUCCCCGCACAGCCCCGGCCGAGGCCGCCCAGCAUCCCGCCGAGGUGAUGAGGACCUCCCCGCAGCCCCAGCAAGCCUGGCUGCUGCCGCCGGACGCCUCCAUUGUCUGACCACCGCCUGGCCUGGGCCGCCCCCCCCCCCCCAGCUCCCCGCAGACCUGCAAGUCCAAGAGACAUCCCUCUGGAAGAUGAGAGAGCUGCCUCUUCAGGAUCAAAAAAAAGAAAACCAGCGUGCUACUGUAUAGAGUUCCCAGGAGCAAGACUGGCUGUCCCUGGAGCCAAGGAACCUUCGUGCUAUCUCGACCUGCCAUCUGAUGGGCAGGAGGCAGAGCGACAUUCUGACUCUUCUGAGGGUGCUACCAGGACUUGCCACCAGCUGGCACCUUCUGCCCUGGACAGACAGAUCGCACUACACAGGCUUUGUUUUAUGAGUGAGAAGUAGAAGAAUACUGCACAUCGGAAAGACUCCAGGGGCUCAGAACAAAGCUUCCUCAUUCCUGCCCCUGGAAUGUUGACCACAGGGAAUCUAAAGGAAAGAAAGCUCUGUGCUG